GACGAACGCUGGCGGCGUGCUUAACACAUGCAAGUCGAACGGAAAGGCACUGCUUUUGUGGGGUGCUCGAGUGGCGAACGGGUGAGUAACACGUGAGUAACCUGCCCUUGACUUUGGGAUAACUUCAGGAAACUGGGGCUAAUACCGGAUAGGAGCUCCUGCUGCAUGGUGGGGGUUGGAAAGUUUCGGCGGUUGGGGAUGGACUCGCAGCUUAUCAGCUUGUUGGUGGGGUAGUGGCUUACCAAGGCUUUGACGGGUAGCCGGCCUGAGAGGGUGACCGGCCACAUUGGGACUGAGAUACGGCCCAGACUCCUACGGGAGGCAGCAGUGGGGAAUAUUGCACAAUGGGCGGAAGCCUGAUGCAGCAACGCCGCGUGCGGGAUGACGGCCUUCGGGUUGUAAACCGCUUUCGCCUGUGACGAAGCGUGAGUGACGGUAAUGGGUAAAGAAGCACCGGCUAACUACGUG
rnacentral:rRNA from 1 species